AACCCCCCGGUACUGCUCAACUUUGGCGGGCUGACAGUAUCGGGGGGUUAAAAGCAGGCGCUGGCCUGUGAAGGAUUAUAACGCAUGCAUUUCAUAAGACAACCUCUGUCCGCCA
rnacentral:ncRNA from 1 species